rnacentral:rRNA from 1 species
UACGAAGGGUGCAAGCGUUACUCGGAAUUACUGGGCGUAAAGCGUGCGUAGGUGGUUUGUUAAGUCUGCUGUGAAAGCCCCGGGCUCAACCUGGGAAUGGCAGUGGAUACUGGCAAGCUAGAGUGCGGUAGAGGGGUGUGGAAUUCCCGGUGUAGCGGUGAAAUGCGUAGAGAUCGGGAGGAACACCAGUGGAGAAGGCGGCACCCUGGACCAGCACUGACACUGAGGCACGAAAGCGUGGGGAGCAAACAGG